rnacentral:ncRNA from 2 species
UCGGCACACGGGGAUGGAGUCCCCCGCUUGUAACCGCCGAAGAGGCUGAUGACUCCUGCUGCGCG